rnacentral:ncRNA from 1 species
UGGAUAGAGGUGCGGUGCUCAUGCGUACCACAAAAUAAGGCCAGGCAGCCGUUUUGUGGGAGAGGGUGUACCGCCGAAGAUUGGAAAGCCUGCCUGGGCCAACCACAUCUGGUUUGCAUGGAGAAUAUCCUGUAGACUGUCACGAAUGAGUGGAGCGCUAUCC